GUUUGGAUCAUGCAUCCCAUGGCAUGGCUUUCCUUUCAGCAUGGAGACCAUAUUGCCAUUAAUUCCUGGUAGCAUUUCCUGGCGCUGGGAGUCCAGCAGCCCCUCUGCAUCUGUUCCCUGUGUUACAUUUCUGCCUUGGCAACGAGACAUUCUGUGCAGCUUAAUUUGUCCUUUGGCUGGAUUUGUCUGCUUCAUCAGCUUGAUUUAAUUGUCCAUCUUGUGAAGUGAACCUGAGGUGGAGCCAUUCUGCUGGUGGGAGGGCAGCAGGUUCAGUGGGCUCGGCCCCUUCGUGCUGGGGAUGCACCAAACAUUCAAGUGGCAGGAAUCUCUCUUUACAGGUUUGAACUCCACUCUGCUUGAGGAUUACACAGUCUACUGCAGUGAAUCACUUCCUUGUGGAUUUGGGUUUCAGAUUCUCCCAUUUAUCCCUAUUUUUAAAUUUUUUUUUGCAAUAUUUGUUUCCAUGCCAGAGCUCAUUGAGCUGGAGCCUUUCUUCCGUGACCAUCAUUAACACAAUUAUGAUAAUCACUCUUUCUGAGCUUUGCUAUUAUCUGAUUUUCACAAGUAUUAAGAGAAAACAGUGAAGGUAUCCCUUGAUGUGAAACUGACCCAUGUCUGCGUGACCUUCAGAUGGACAGGGCCUUUUUCAGGGCUGUGACUGUUUCAGGCAAGUGGCCCAGAACUGGAGCUCUGAUGACAACAUUCUUGCAGCCUUUCUGCUGGGCACAGGUGGCAGUUUAUUUCAAUCAUUCUACAGAGCUAAACAAGAUGUAGAAAACAUGCAGCUCUAUAAAAGAGGAAAUUUCAACCUUCUCAGGUGAUUCAGAGAUUAGUCCACCUACAGUUUCUAGUAUGUUAUUUUUAUGUGUGUGCUUAAUCCUUUUAUAUAAUCCUGCUUACUUGUUAGUCUUUCAAAGACAGAUAAUUACAGCUUUUUGAACUGAUGUGGAAUCUCAGACAUGUUGUGACUGGUGGGGAUUCAACAGUGAUACAGACAGAGCUGCUCCAGGUGUUAAUGCACUGCAAAUAAAGGCCUGGUGUCUUGGCAAUUUGGGAAGGAAAGAGAGGACAGGUUUCUGCUGCCCAACCUUUCACACUCCCCUGGUGGUUUUUGUGUCAUGAAGCAACAGCAGCUGAACUUCCCCUGAUUUGCAUUCUGACAACACCAGCUUCUGUGGGCUUUGGAGAGAGCUCUCUACUCGAGCGAGUGCCAGCUGUUCUUUAAUGGCUGUAAUUGGUAACAGUGCUGCAGCAGGGAAGGAUAAAUGAAGCAGAAUUCGGAUCCCCAUGGAGAAAAGGAUGUUUGGGUAAUAUUUUGUCCCCCGUGUUUGUAACAGCAGUGUGUAGUGAACCUUUGCCGAGGGUGCUGGCUGAAUGCUGGGAAUGCUUCCUCUGAGGGCACAGAGGUGGAGACAAAGGACUGGCUUUGGCAGCUCUGCCCACAACUUAAUCCUUGUUUUGCACUUGUCUGCCUCCCUGCAUCUGGGAAGAUCAAAGAGCUGGAAAUGAGGAAACUCUUUAAGGCUCGUGGCCCUUUCCUGGGAUCAGCCACUCACACAGGUGCUUGGCUGCUCUGUGAGGGGUGCUGCACACUGAGUGCACAGAGAGAUUUUGGCUGAUCACUGCUGCCCUGCUGCUGGCACAGUCAGAGGGAGCCCCAAGAGGUUUUCUGGUGCCUGUCAAAACCACCCCCACCCCUUCUGUUAUAGAUGAGUAAUGAGGUGGUUGGCCCUCACAGUUAAUGGGUGAACACUGUAUGUAUGUUAAGUUUUUGUAGAUGUAUAGUUAUGUUACUGUAAUAUGUCCCUGCAUUGUUAUCGUGGGAUGGCCUUGGUAGUCAGGGCAUUGGGGGAGGGUUGGCUUGUUACUAUGGUAACCUGACCUCCAAUCAAGAUGUAAGGAAGUGAUCUCCAUCACUGGAUGGCAAAGAAGGAGUCCACUGACAAGACUUUGGGAGGAGCUAGAAGUAUAAAAGAUGGAGAUCCACUUUGAAGAUGAGCACGUGGCUGUUAGUCACAUGGGGAGCUCCCAGUGCUUUAAUUUUUCCUUAU